rnacentral:rRNA from 1 species
AACGAACGCUGGCGGCAUGCCUAACACAUGCAAGUCGAACGAGACCUUCGGGUAUAGUGGCGCACGGGUGCGUAACGCGUGGGAACCUGCCCUUAGGUUCGGAAUAACUCCCCGAAAGGGGUGCUAAUACCGGAUAAUGUCUUCGGACCAAUGAUUUAUCGCCUUGGGAUGGGCCCGCGUUGGAUUAGCUAGUUGGUAGGGUAAAAGCCUACCAAGGCGACGAUCCAUAGCUGGUCUGAGAGGAUGACCAGCCACACUGGGGCUGAGACACGGCCCAGACUCCUGCGGGAGGCAGCAGUGGGGAAUAUUGGACGAUGGGCGAAAGCCUGAUCCAGCAAUGCCGCGUGAGUGAGGAAGGCCUUAGGGUUGUAAAGCACUUUUACCCGGGAUGAUAAUGACAGUACCGGGAGAAUAAGCGCCGGCUAACUCCGUG